GUUGAUGCUGGAGGCGGAGUCCGGCUCCCGUAGGAGUCCGGGCGGAGCUAUCUUGUAGCUGAAGUUGUUGGUCGUCGGGGAUGAAGUCCGGCUCCCAUGGGAGCCCGGGCGGAGAUCUCUUUUGAGGUUGGCCUUGUAGGCGGAGCCGUUGAUUCUGUGAAGGACUUCGGCUGGGGGUAUUUUAUACCCAACACCAGUCUCCCUACUUCCGAGUUUGAAUUUCGAACGAAGGAAGUACAGAGAGACGGACACAGCCGAAGUCGCCCCUUCGAAUACUGCAUACCGCCGCCCCCAGAUAUUUUGGCAUUUAAUGUGUGUACGUCAGAGCCCGC
rnacentral:lncRNA from 1 species